CGGGGCUACUGCUCUGUAAUUGGCAUGGGGGCGACCUUCACCCUCGCCCGAGUACCCAUUGGAGGGCAAGUCUGGUGCCAGCAGCCGCGGUAAUUCCAGCUCCAAUAGCGUAUAUUAAGCUUGUUGCAGUUAAAAAGCUCGUAGUUGUACUUUAUGUCCCUCGCGUGGUCCUUCCUCGCUAGGACGCCUCGUUACUUUGAGAAAAUUAGAGUGUUUCAAGCAGGUUUCGCCUGUAUAAUUGAGCAUGGAAUAACCUUGUAUGACCCCUGUCGUACCGUUGGUUGACUUUGGGUAAUGGUUAAUAGGAACGGUUGGGGGCAUUCGUACUCGACUGUCAGAGGUGAAAUUCUUAGAUUUGUCGAUGACGCACGACUGCGAAAGCAUUUGCCAAGGACGCUUCCAUUAAUCAAGAAC
rnacentral:rRNA from 1 species